UCAUCCAAGUAUGGCUGCAAGUAAUGAGAGAAAGUCAAGUCAUCCCAUGGCUGCUGUACUGGUGGAUUACGAAGGUUCAAACUCUAUUAAACCAGUCCCUCAGGUCAUGGUAACACAGACGAAGAACUGCUUUUCUAAAGGAGCUUAAUUUAUACAAAUGGACAUCAGCUGCGUACAAGACACUAACCUCUUUUUCAAACUUUUCGUGUUGAUGGAGGACAUGGUACUAUCUUACAUAAUGCAGUGGCUCAAGAUGACUUUGGGGUGCUUGCGGUGUUGACAUACAUACCCAACAUUCAAACAAGGAAAAAAGAUGACGAGAAGCAGCAGAAGAUA